GACGAACGCUGGCGGCGUGCUUAACACAUGCAAGUCGAACGGUGAAGCAGAGCUUGCUCUGUGGAUCAGUGGCGAACGGGUGAGUAACACGUGAGUAACCUGCCCUUGACUCUGGGAUAAGCGUUGGAAACGACGUCUAAUACCGGAUACGAGCUGAAACCGCAUGGUCAUCAGUUGGAAAGAUUUUUUGGUCAAGGAUGGACUCGCGGCCUAUCAGCUUGUUGGUGAGGUAAUGGCUCACCAAGGCGACGACGGGUAGCCGGCCUGAGAGGGUGACCGGCCACACUGGGACUGAGACACGGCCCAGACUCCUACGGGAGGCAGCAGUGGGGAAUAAUGCACAAUGGGCGCAAGCCUGAUGCAGCAACGCCGCGUGAGGGAUGACGGCCUUCGGGUUGUAAACCUCUUUUAGUAGGGAAUAAGCGAAAGUGACGGUACCUGCAGAAAAAGCACCGGCUAACUACGUG
rnacentral:rRNA from 1 species